CAAAACGACUUGCAGGCUGGUUUCCUGAACUUUUGUGUGCACCCAGGAACACAGAAAAUUCCUUCACCAACAUGUGGGAAAGUUUAUAUUAGGAAAAGCAUUUGCAGUUAAAAAUUAAAUAGUCUUAAAUCUAAAUUAUUUUCAGUCUAGGGGGAGCUUGAGGCUGAGGAGCCAUCUGGCUUUUGCUGAUACCAGAGCAAACUGGGAAAAUGCCAGGUGACUUCUACAGAGGGGCAGAAAUAAGGGAGGUGAGUUUGUUUGGUAGGAGGGGGAGGGCUAACAUCACUGCAGCUUGUUUUGAUUAGGUGAGUUGUUAGUCUCUGUCCUUCAGUAAAGCAGGUUGUUCUGAAAAGAAAAAAAAAGAGUCUCAGCUGCAAAUGUAGUCCUUCUGGGCAAGCUGGUAUUUUGUUCUGUGUUGUGACUGAAGAUUUAGCCCUUAAAACAGGAUAAGACCUCCAGCAAGAAUGGUGUUCAUGCAUGAAAUUGUACUGUUUAGGCUUGAUGGGUGCUUAGAAAAAGGCAAACGCAGCUGAGUUUGCAGCAUCUCUCUCAUCUGUUGAAGUGAAGUCAAGUGCACUACAGCCAGGAGCCCUGAUCCUGAGCAGUUAAUGGGAUUCUGAUUAGGCUUGACUUUUCAAGCAACAAAACUUACAAACAAUGUUGGUAACUCCUCCAUGUACUACUGUCAGUGAAAGAAAUGUUUCCCGAGACAGAGAGAGGCACUGCAAAAUUGUCUGGAGUGCCCAUGGAUAUAUCUGCUGGAUUGAAGACUAGUUAUUUAAGAGGAAAAAAAACCGCGACAAAGCAGCCUUCAGCCCCAAGGCCACAGAUAGCUAUCUGAGAUACUGUGGACACAGCGAACAAGGAGGAAGUGCCAGUAGAGAUAGAAAACUGGAUUAAGUGAUGGCUGAAAAUAUGUUCAGCUCUGCUCUUUGUCCUCAACUUACUCAUUAUUGUGAUGGGUAAACAUUACUUUGCAAAAGCAUUUUCUUCUUUUGAUGUAGUCCAAAUAAAUAAUUACAAAUUGUAUUUGUAGAGUUGAUGUCUUGUUGAUUUGGGUUUUUUUUCCUAAUCUAUAAAUUCUCAACAUAAAGGGGUUUCUAGCAGAAACUGACAGUGAUGCAAAUGAACCCUAUUUCCUCUGAAAUAUGAACACCAAUGAUACUUUUACAAGAAAGUAAGAACGCUAUUGCUAAAGAGAAUCUGUGUUCAGUGAUACAUUUGAAUGGACUGAUCAGAAGUUUUCAUGCUAGUAGUAGCUUGAUGUUGUUUGUCAUGGUUUAAGGUGAAUUAUUGAACACGGUAUUGCUUACAGCUGUUUAGUUUUAGUCUUAGAGUUACCUAAGGAUUUUCCAAAUGUGAUCACAGUUGACAGGAUCUUAGAAUGGCUUGGAUUGGAAGGAACAUCAAAGAUCACUCAGUUCCAAUCCCCUUUCUUUAGUUUAAAACCAUUUGCCCAGUCUCUGUCUACACAUGUAAAAAGUUGAUUUCUCUCCUGUUUAUAAUUUCCCUAUAAAAUUGGAAGGUCUAAAGGAAGUCUCUCUAGUCCAGCUUUUUGUCUAUCAGAGCCCCCAGGUCCCUCUCUGCAGGGCUGCUCUUAAUGAGUUCUUCAUGUCAAUGCAUGUAUCUGGAUUGCCCCAGCUAAAAUGCAACAGCUUGCACUUGACUUUGUUGAAGCUCAUUAGAUUCACAUGGGCCCCUCUUUUGAGUUUGACACUAUCCAUUUAGAUGGCAAUCUUCUUCCAAGGUAACUUGAGCCUUGCAUCCUCAAAACAGGCGUAACAGUUGUAAUAGCCCAACUGCAGAAGUUAACUAUCUGCAAACCAGAUUCAAGUAAGCUUUUGUUUUGGUGGAAUCUUAAAAGCACAGCAAUUAUUUCCUUUUUGUCUUGUGAUUUUGAAAUUACUUGUACAUCUCUGAAUCCUGGAUUUCCAUGUCUCGUGAUAUUCUAGUUCAAGUUGCCUUUUUAAUGCCAAGGUAUCGACAAAGUUUUUCAAACAUUUCAUUUACCUUUAUAUUUCUGAAACAUUUUAAACCUUCACUCUUUUAAGCAACUCUUAUAGAUUCUUUUCAUUGUCUCUUCAGAAGAAACUUGUAAAUUUUUCUUUUCUUUUUCCCCUUCUUAAUUAAUUUAGAUGAUUUUUAGUAGACAUUUGUAUUCUGUAAAUUGUGCAACCAAAUCGUGUAAAAUUUCUCAAAGAAUGUUUAUCUGUCUCCUACUGGCUCUUGCUUGUUUAUUUCUUUUUUGUAACUACAACACACUUCACAUCUAACCUACCUUCCCUCCUCCUCCUCUCCCCCCAGUUACUUAGUGCAAAUAUUUAAAUUCUUGAGUCAUCUUAUGGAAAUAUUAUGGAAGUACUCUCAAUUUUGUGUUGCUUUCAUUGUUUGUUUGUUUAACAACCUCACUGUUCUCUUUCUUUACGUAAGUA